rnacentral:lncRNA from 1 species
UGUCCCAAAAGUUACAGGUCAUCACUCAUGCCCAGCUCUCUACCUGCGAGAAUUUAGGUAAAGAGUUUGCACUUUGUGAUAAAGGGAGGAAAGAGCAACUAACAUUUAAUGACUGUCUGCUAAGCACUUGACCACCUGGACAUCUUCCACCUUCAGUGACCUGGAUCUAAAUAAAACCACUCAAUAAUGGGAUCUGCAAUUAUGUGACUU